UUGUCUUUUUGCAACUUAACAGUUGCAAGUGGUCAAUGUGAACUAUUGUUGUACUGUAUAGAUAAGUUUUUUUCAGUUUUUGGUGAACUUUUCCUUUAACGUUGAUGUACAGUAUCAAGCGUGUCCAGACUCUGCAAUGAGCUGUAAUGUAAUGAGGUGGAAAUUGCUUGUUUUCACUUUUUUACCUUCCAUUAAGGACCAAUAUGAGGAGACAUGCCUGAAAUCUCCCAAUCGUUCAGUACGUCAUUCACAAAUUGGAAUUUUUUCCUCCCUACAUCAACAUCAGUUUAGUGCAACAUCAUCCCAAGGUAACAUGUGAACUGAAGAGGGAGUCUGUGGCAACAAUUCCUAUAUCAUCACAUACAUCAAAAAUCAACCACAAAGUGCCGUAACAGAUGAAGGGUCUGAAAUCACAUUUUUAAUAAUGUCAGCAUUUUAUACAUGUAUUCAGUCACUUUGAAAUGUUGUUCAAAAUUACCAUUAAAAGAAAAAAAUGUUUCUCGGUUGUGGGUGAACUCGAAAAUGUAUUAAAGUGAAUGGGGCAUGUCUCGCACAGUAAUAAUAGUACCUGGUAGGAACAAAAAUAUAUUUUAUUAGAAAACGGGAAGCAAAACACAGUUUCAUGGCUGGUGAGAAAUAUUUACAACCAUUGACAGGUUGCAAAUAAUUCAGUUUAGACCCCGACUGUGACUACAACAAAUGUUGACUUUCUGCAGCAUAAACAACAAACUUGAAAAGAGCAGAGAAGGGCCAUGGUACAAGAGUUUAAAAAGCUUGGCAGAAGAUGAACAGCUAGCAGGUCAAAGGUGAAGGUGUUAACUGCAUGAAAGCAAUGAAAGAACACUUCUUCAAAGACCCGCACAUAAAUACGCAUGGUCUUAAAUAUUCAUGAUAUAACGGUGCUACCAUUUUCAUCUGCCAAAAAUGAACUGGAGAGAUUAAAUUGGAGCAGAAGAAGCUAAAGAUGAAGAAAAGAGGAUGAGGGAAAAUGCUGGGUCGUCGCCUUGAAUGCAUGCUGAUUUCGACUACAAUUAUGAGUGGAGUGGACAUGCUGUGGAAGGCUGGUAGCAGCUAUAAGUACCUGAGCCCCGAAGCAGCAACUUAAAACCAGGAAACAAAGGCAGCACGCAGCACCUAGAGAGCGGUUGCGAGGAUAAAGCGGACCAUGGCUGGAUGUGUCAGUGCGGAGAUGAAGGUGCAGCAAGGGGGAAGUGGAGAAUUGGAAAAAGCGAGACCAGGAACGUGCAGCUCAGUGAGGUUCAGUGUUGGGGGUAACGCAUUACAAGUAACGUGAACUACGUAAUAAUAUUACUUCUUUGAAUUAACGAGUAAAGUAACGCAUUACUUUAAAAAUGUACACUUUAAUAUUUGAGUUACUUUUUCAAAAAAGUAAUGUUACCUUUCAGUUUAAUUAAUUCGAUUUAAAAAAAAAAUAAUGUACUGAAUUAAACUGAACAUAGUCAUGUAUAAUUACGUACUCUGUGUGCGCACGUGAG